UAGGGAAUCUUAGACAAUGGGGGCAACCCUGUUCUAGCCAUGCCGCGUGUGUGAUGAAGGCCCUAGGGUCGUAAAGCACUUUCGCCAGAGAUGAUAAUGACAGUAUCUGGUAAAGAAACCCCGGCUAACUCCGUGCCAGCAGCCGCGGUAAUACGGAGGGGGUUAGCGUUGUUCGGAAUUACUGGGCGUAAAGCGCACGUAGGCGGAUUAGUAAGUUAGAGGUGAAAUCCCAGGGCUCAACCCUGGAACUGCCUUUAAUACUGCUAGUCUUGAGUUCGAGAGAGGUAAGUGGAAUUCCGAGUGUAGAGGUGAAAUUCGUAGAUAUUCGGAGGAACACCAGUGGCGAAGGCGGCUUACUGGCUCGAUACUGACGCUGAGGUGCGAAAGUGUGGGGAGCAAACAGGAUUAGAUACCCUGGUAGUCCACACCGUAAACGAUGAAUGCCAGACGUCAGCAAGUAUACUUGUUGGUGUCACACCUAACGGAUUAAGCAUUCCGCCUGGGGAGUACGGUCGCAAGAUUA
rnacentral:rRNA from 1 species